GCUGAGAUGGCCGAGUGGUCUAAGGCGCUGGAUUUAAGCAGCAUACAAAUGCGCUUCCCAGUGGAGGUAAUCCGCGUGGGUUCGAACCCCACUCUCAGCA